rnacentral:rRNA from 1 species
AUACGGAGGGUGCGAGCGUCAAUCGGAAUUACUGGGCGUAAAGCGUACGUAGGCGGUUGGUUAAGUUAGAUGUGAAAGCCCCGGGCUUAACCUGGGAACUGCAUUUAAAACUGGCGAACUAGAGUUGAGUAGAGGGGAGUGGAAUUUCAGGUGUAGCGGUGAAAUGCGUAGAGAUCUGAAGGAACACCAGUGGCGAAGGCGGCUCCCUGGACUCAAACUGACGCUGAGGUACGAAAGCGUGGGUAGCAAACGGGAUUAGAAACCCUAGUAGUCC